rnacentral:rRNA from 1 species
UACUUUCUAAUAUCAACUCAAAUCAUUCUUAUAAAAACACUUUAACUUCUAAUAUCUCUCUCACAACAAUAACAAGUACUGAAAAGGAAAUAUUAAUAUACAUAAGUAGCUAUUAAUAAACGUACCUUGUGCAUUAUGGUUUUACAAGCACAAAGUUAAUACUUUAUACCCGAAUUCUAUGCGAGCUGCUUCAUCAUAGCUAAGCGCCCACUACCAGUUAUGGCAUAAACCCUAGAAAAUGAUGUUGCAGAGGCUACAUACCACCCGCGCUAGAAAAUUGCUGGUUCUCAACAAAACUUAUAAUUAAAACAUGUAGUAAUCUAUAAUGUAAGAUCACGGAGGAUAAGCCCCCUAAUCUGCUGCCAAUAUAACUUUAAUAUACCUAAAUAGGCCUAAAACCAGCCAACUUCAUUUCUUCACCGUUUCCUCAUAUUAAUAAAUGCUAUAUUAUUGCCUCAUAAAGUUGAGGAUAAAGAUUAAUUUUUACCCUUAAGUCAUUAUGUAAAAAUAAGUAUUAGAAGUAACACUAUAACCUCAAUCAGUUAAUCUUUUACAAAGGAACUCGGCAAAUCCUAAUUUCGACUGUUUAACAAAAACAUUGCUUUCUGACUUCAAAUAAAAAGUAAUUCCUGCCCAGUGAUAUUAUUCAACGGCCGCGGUAUCCUAACCGUGCAAAGGUAGCAUAAUCAUUUGCCCAUUAAUUGUGGGCUAGAAUGAACGGAUUAACGAAAUAAAGACUGUCUCUGUAAAAUCAAUAUAAACUAAUCUCCAAUUGAAGAACAUUGGAUAUAAUUGAAGGACAAGAAGACCCUAUAGAGCUUUAUUUUAAAUGAGUUCUAUACUCCCUAUAAAUUAGGUUGGGGCGACCUGGGAUAAUACAUAACAUCCCACAUGCUAAGAUAAACAUAUCACACUUUAAGACCCUUAAAAGAUCAUAGAAACAAGCUACCUUAGGGAUAACAGGCUAAUUCUAUUAAAGAGUUCUUAUCUAUAAUAGAGUUUGGCACCUCGAUGUUGGCUUAGGGUAUCUAUACAGCGCAAAAGUUGUAGAAAGAUGGUUUGUUCAACCAAUAAUACCCUACAUGAGCUGAGUUCAGACCGGCGUAAGCCAGGUUAGCUUCUAUCCUCAAUUAAACCCAUAUUUACAGUACGAAAGGACCUUAAUAUGAUAAUUAUUAUAAGUAAGGAACAAAUAUAAUAUUUAUUAAACUUAAAAACUCAUACUUUAUC